CAGUCGCCGCGGUAAUACGUAGGGUGCGAGCGUUAAUCGGAAUUACUGGGCGUAAAGCGUGCGCAGGCGGUGAUGUAAGACAGUUGUGAAAUCCCCGGGCUCAACCUGGGAACUGCAUCUGUGACUGCAUCGCUGGAGUGCGGCAGAGGGGGAUGGAAUUCCGCGUGUAGCAGUGAAAUGCGUAGAUAUGCGGAGGAACACCGAUGGCGAAGGCAAUCCCCUGGGCCUGCACUGACGCUCAUGCACGAAAGCGUGGGGAGCAAACAGGAUUAGAUACCCUGGUAGUCUCUGUCUCUUAUAC
rnacentral:rRNA from 1 species